AUACGGAGAAAAGAACCCACCAGGGAUUGCCUCAGUAACGGCGAGUGAAGCGGCAAUAGCUCAAAUUUGAAAUCUGGCUCUUUUAGAGUCCGAGUUGUAAUUUGUAGAGGAUGCUUCGGCUUACGUCUCGGUCUAAGUUCCUUGGAACAGGACGUCACAGAGGGUGAGAAUCCCGUUUGUGGCCGCGACUUCCGCCCAUGUGAAGCUCCUUCGACGAGUCGAGUUGUUUGGGAAUGCAGCUCUAAAUGGGAGGUAUAUUUCUUCUAAAGCUAAAUACCGGCCAGAGACCGAUAGCGCACAAGUAGAGUGAUCGAAAGAUGAAAAGCACUUUGGAAAGAGAGUUAAAAAGUACGUGAAAUUGUUGAAAGGGAAGCGCUUGCGACCAGACUUGCCCGCGGAUGCUCAACCGGUCCUUCGGCCGGUGCACUCUUCCGCGGUCAGGCCAGCAUCAGUUCGAGCAGUUGGAUAAAGGCUUUGGGAAUGUGGCUCUCUUCGGGGAGUGUUAUAGCCCUUUGUGCAAUACAACUCGCUUGGACUGAGGCCCGCGCUUCGGCUAGGAUGCUGGCGUAAUGGUCGUAAGCGGCCCGUCUUGAAACACGGACCAAGGAGUCUAACAUCUAUGCGAGUGUUUGGGUGUCAAACCCGUGCGCGAAAUGAAAGUGAACGGAGGUGGGAACCUUUGGGUGCACCAUCGACCGAUCCUGAUGUCUUCGGAUGGAUUUGAGUAAGAGCAUAGCUGUUGGGACCCGAAAGAUGGUGAACUAUGCCUGAAUAGGGUGAAGCCAGAGGAAACUCUGGUGGAGGCUCGCAGCGGGUUCUGACGUGCAAAUCGAUCGUCAAAUUUGGGUAUAGGGGGCGAAAGACUAAUCGAACCUCUA
rnacentral:rRNA from 1 species